rnacentral:rRNA from 1 species
GAUGAACGCUGGCGGCGUGCUUAACACAUGCAAGUCGAACGGGAAAUAUUUCAUUGAGACUUCGGUGGAUUUGAUUUAUUUCUAGUGGCGGACGGUUGAGUAACGCGUGGGUAACCUGCCUUAUACAGGGGGAUAACAGUCAGAAAUGGCUGCUAAUACCGCAUAAGCGCACAGAGCUGCAUGGCUCAGUGUGAAAAACUCCGGUGGUCUAAGAUGGACCCGCGUUGGAUUAGCUAGUUGGUGGGGUAACGGCCCACCAAGGCGACGAUCCAUAGCCGGCCUGAGAGGGUGAACGGCCACAUUGGGACUGAGACACAGCCCAGAAUCCUACGGGAGGCAGCAGUGGGUAAUAUUGCAAAAUGGGGGAAACCCUGAUGCAGCGACGCCGCGUGAAGGAAGAAGUAUCUCGGUAUGUAAACUUCUAUCAGCAGGGAAGAUAGUGACGGUACCUGAAUAAGAAGCCCCGGCUAACUACGUG